GAUGAACGCUAGCUACAGGCUUAACACAUGCAAGUCGAGGGGAAACGAUAGAGAAAGCUUGCUUUUUCUAGGCGUCGACCGGCGCACGGGUGAGUAACGCGUAUCCAACCUGCCCAUCACUUGGGGAUAACCUUGCGAAAGUAAGACUAAUACCCAAUGACGUCUCUAGAAGACAUCUGAAGGAGAUUAAAGAUUUAUCGGUGAUGGAUGGGGAUGCGUCUGAUUAGCUUGUUGGCGGGGUAACGGCCCACCAAGGCGACGAUCAGUAGGGGUUCUGAGAGGAAGGUCCCCCACAUUGGAACUGAGACACGGUCCAAACUCCUACGGGAGGCAGCAGUGAGGAAUAUUGGUCAAUGGACGAGAGUCUGAACCAGCCAAGUAGCGUGAAGGAUGACUGCCCUAUGGGUUGUAAACUUCUUUUAUACGGGAAUAAAGUGAGGCAUGUGUGCCUUUUUGUAUGUACCGUAUGAAUAAGGAUCGGCUAACUCCGUGCCAGCAGCCGCG
rnacentral:rRNA from 1 species